CUCGCGCACACCUCCGAUGGUCUUUUUGCUCUUGCAAGAGAGAGUGCUGUCCGAUGGAUGGAUUCAGUGGUGGCAUUUACCUUCGGAGCCAAACUCAUUCAAAGACUCCGAAAGAAAAGCAACUCAUCUUCCAUUAUGAGUACAAGUCGGUGAUCCAGGUAAGAGUAAGGACUCCCCACAGCAGGACAACGGUGGCCUUGUCUGAAGUCUAUCAGUCGUCUUUAUAAGCUAACUUCUUCAGAUUGGUUGAUUCCAACUUCCCUGGAGACCCAAACACUGGCAGUUCAAGGGGCCGACAGAGAAGAAAGGCAUAUCUGAAAGGGACCUUGAAUGUGAGGCUGACUUUGUAGAGCAGCAAUGGGGCCGCUGAGUCAGGACUUGACACCAGAGUUUCUGCUCAACCAUCUGCA